AAACAUAAGAAAAGGGCAAAAAGUAUUGGUUUGGGAACCAUGAUAUGUAAAAUCUUGAAUAAAAUGGGCAUUUCUCGACAGACCCAUCAAUCAUCUUCAAUGCCUCCAUUUCCUCAAAAGAGAAGCUAGCUGUUUGUGUGAGUGAGAGGUGGCUGCUCUCACCAUUUUCCACCUCAAAAAUUCCUACCUUUUUCAGAACCCUAAUUAAUCUAAUUCAUUUCAAACAUGUUUUUGCUCAACAACUAAGGGGGGAGCUGCAAAAUAUUGCACACAAGAAGGGGGAGCAUGCAGCAAUUGUGGUUAGCUUUGAAAAGAGAAACCAUACUUUGUGUAUCAUGAGAGGCAAGCAAAAUUGCAAUUACAACCUAUAAGUUGCUUUAGUGUGGAAAGAGCUGCUGAGAAAGUGAGGUGAGCAUAAGGUAAUUAUCUUUUAGUUUUCCAAUUGAUUCUUAUAGGUUUUGGACCUAGUAAUGCCAAAUGUUGUCAUGUAAUAUUAAACAUAGCUGAUUGGAUAAGACUGGUACUUCUUAUGGCUCCUGUCUUAUUUUAGGGUCUCUUAUAUGUUGUGCUCCUAAAAAGUAGGUGCUAUAGAGAUUUUAUAUCAUGAUUCAUAUAUAUACCUUGAUUGUAGCUAAGCGCAUGCAGCUUCCAUAUUUUACAUCUCAUUUUUCUUCCUUUAGGCAUUUUUUGGUUCAUUGUGGAAAGAUUGAGAGGGCAAAGAUUGUUCUAAAGACUAAGAGGCCUUUUAGAAUGAUGAUAUAUUAUAAUUAAGUGGCAAUUUUGUAAAAGUUUAGAGUAGGAUGUAAUUUUGGAUAAGUCAAGUUAUUACUCUGAAAAUGAGAACCAAGGUUUUUCAGCCAAUUAGUAUUUUCCUAAUCAUUUUCAAGAAUAUCUGAUUAAUCAAAGCAAAUCUAACAACUAAAAAUUAUCUACACACCAUGGUUACUUUUUCUUCAACCAAAGGUUUGUAAGAGCUAAACAUUCCUAUAAUGAGACCAUCAAAAUGUUAUCUUAUGUAGAAAAGACUUGUGAAUUUCGAAGGAUCACAUCUAUGAAGGCGUUGCUGUAUUUAGGAACUACUGGGCUAACGUCUACAGUUGCAGGCUUUAUAUCACCGAGCAGCAUAAAGGGAGUAGUAGGGACUAUAUUCUAUAUUGGGAUGGCCUAAUUGUUCAAGUUCUCGUUUAAUGCAAAAACUCUUGUGCGGUAAGUAUUGAUUAAUCAUUAGCUCUUAGUUAAUUAUGGGUCAUUUAGGGUUUAAACAAGAGUUUAUUAAUCCCCAAUUACGGUUUAUUAAUAAUGACAAUCAGGAUUUAAUUAAAGUGAAUGUAUAUGAGUGUGCCUUCAUAUUUAAUUACCAUUGUGUUUGAAGAUUAGGGUGAGUGGGCAUGUACAGAUGACCAAGGGAAGUUGGUUUAAAGCUCAGUCCCACAACUGAUAAGAUUGAAUUGAUUUUUUGUUGGGUUGGAACUUGGAAUUAAUGUUCAUUAUGCAUAACUGGCAGAGGUAGAAGGCAAUGUGUUAUUUGUUACUUUUAUUUUUAUUUUUUAGGAGGCAAUGUGUUAUUUAUAUGCCUACCUAAUGCAAUAAUGAAAAGGUGGAGCCUUGCUAACUGUACUUUUAUUGUGUUGGUAAAGAUGGGAAAUUCUGAAUUCCUAGAAAAAGAAAUAUGGAAUUUCAAACACUAUUUAUUGUGUUAUGAUUUAUGGUUUUAGAUACUUGGUAUUGGAUUUGCUUCUUUUUUCUUUGUUAGCAUAAUAUGUGUAAUGAUACAUGUCAUUAGUCCCUAAUUUUGGUAUCAAUUUAUCAUCAUCAAAUUGAAACGUAAGUGUGAGAUGUUUCGUUUUUUGACGGGAGAAACAAAUAUUUUAAAAGAUUAUUUGACGGUGCACUCGAACAUAUGAAAUGGUUCUUUUUUUAAAAUUUUUUGGCAGGAAAAACAAAUAUGGACUCGGACGUGUGAGAUGCUUCUUUUUUUUAUUUUUAGGAAAAACAAGUAUUUUGAAAGAUUGCAUGAUGAUAGAUUCGAACUAAGAUGUUUAUUAUUAUUUAUUUAUUUUAAAUUGUAAGAUGCUUUUAUUUGGAAGGCAGCCAAUAUGUUUUCUGGUAGAAAGAACAAAAAGGGGCAGAAGAAAUUGCUUUUGGCCAUGCUUGAAAAGUUGAAUGGAAAAUUCAAUAUACAUCACGAAAUUCAUCA